rfam:Aedes aegypti strain Liverpool supercont1.258 genomic scaffold, whole genome shotgun sequence.
GGCUCGGUAUUUUAGUUGGUAAAGCGCUCGUCUAGCAUACAAGAUUCCAGGGUUCAAAUCCCAGCCGAGCAC